rnacentral:rRNA from 1 species
UACGGAAGGCAGCAGUGGGGAAUAUUGCACAAUGGGCGAAAGCCUGAUGCAGCUAUGCCGCGUGUAUGAAGAAGGCCUUAGGGUUGUAAAGUACUUUCAUCGGGGAGGAAAAACAAAACUAAUAAUUUUAUUUCUUGACGUUACCCGAAAAAGAAGCACCGGCUAACUCCGUGCCAGCAGCCGCGGUAAUACGGAGGGUGCUAGCGUUAAUCAGAAUUACUGGGCGUAAAGAGCACGUAGGUGGUUUUUUUAAGUCAGAUGUGAAAUCCCUGGGCUUAACCUAGGAACUGCAUUUUGAAACUGAAAUACUAGAGUAUCGUAGAGGGAGGUAGAAUUCUAGGUGUAGCGGUGAAAUGCGUAGAUAUCUGGAGGAAUACCUGUGGCGAAAGCGGCCUCCUAAACGAAUACUGACACUGAGGUGCGAAAGCGUGGGGAGCAAACGGGGAUUAGAUACCCGU